CAGCAGCCGCCGCGGUAAUACGUAGGUGGCGAGCGUUGCUCGGAAUCACUGGGCGUAAAGGGUGCGUAGGCGGGUCUUUAAGUCAGGGGUGAAAUCCUGGAGCUCAACUCCAGAACUGCCUUUGAUACUGAAGAUCUUGAGUUCGGGAGAGGUGAGUGGAACUGCGAGUGUAGAGGUGAAAUUCGUAGAUAUUCGCAAGAACACCAGUGGCGAAGGCGGCUCACUGGCCCGAUACUGACGCUGAGGCACGAAAGCGUGGGGAGCAAGCAGGAUUAGAUACCCGUGUAGUCCCUGUCUCUUAUAC
rnacentral:rRNA from 1 species